rnacentral:tRNA from 1 species
UGGUAGAGCUCAGUGGAAAAGCACUUGCCUUGCAUGCAUGAGCCCCUGGGUUCAAUUUCCAGAACCACUAA